rnacentral:rRNA from 1 species
GACGAACGCUGGCGGCGUGCUUAACACAUGCAAGUCGAACGCAGAGGCCCUGCUUUUGUUGGGUGCUCGAGUGGCGAACGGGUGAGUAACACGUGAGUAACCUGCCCUUGACUUUGGGAUAACUUCAGGAAACUGGGGCUAAUACCGGAUAGGAACUCCUGCUGCAUUGUGGGGUUUGGGAAGGUUCGGUGGUUGGGGAUGGACUCCCUGCUUAUCAGCUUGUUGGUGGGGUAGUGUCUUACCAAUGGUUUGACUGGUAGCCGGCCUGUGUGGAUGAGCGGCCACAUUGGGACUAGAGUACGACCCGAAACGGUACGUGGGACAACCGUGGAGUAUAUUGAACGAUGGUCGGAAGCCUGAUGCAGAGACGCCGAGUGCGUGGUGACGGCAUUCGGGUUGUAAACUGCUUUAGCCUGUGGCGAAGUGUGGGUGACGGUAAUGGGUAAAGAAGCACCGGCUAACUACGUG